GACGAACGCUGGCGGCGUGCUUAACACAUGCAAGUCGAACGGAAAGUCCCUGCUUUUUUGCGGUGCUCGAGUGGCGAACGGGUGAGUAACACGUGAGUAACCUGCCCUUGACUUUGGGAUAACUUCAGGAAACUUGGUCUAAUACCGGAUAGGAGCUCCUGCUGCAUGGUGGGGGUUGGUAAGUUUCGGCGGUUGGGGAUGGACUCGCGGCUUAUCAGCUUGUUGGUGGGGUAGUGGCUUACCAAGGCUUGGACGGGUAGCCGGCCUGAGAGGGUGACAGGACAAAUUGGGACGGAGAUACGGCACAGACUACUACGGGAGGGAGCAGUGGGGAAUAGUGCACAAUGGGAGGAAGCAUGAUGCAGCAACGCCGCGUGGGGGAUGACGGCCUGGGGGUUGUAAUGCGAUGCCGCCUGUGACGAAGCGUGAGUGACGGUAAUGGGUAAAGAAGCACCGGCUAACUACGUG
rnacentral:rRNA from 1 species